AAGGCAAAAGAGAGCUUGAUUGCAAGACAUACAGGUCGAGCAAGGAUGAAAAUCGGACUUAGUGAUCCGGUGGUUCUGCGUGGAAGGGCCAUCGCUCAACGGAUAAAAGCUACCCUGGGGAUAACAGGCUUAUCUCCCCCAAGAGUCCACAUCGACGGGGAGGUUUGGCACCUCGAUGUCGGCUCAUCACAUCCUGGGGCUGUAGUAGGUCCCAAGGGUUGGGCUGUUCGCCCAUUAAAGUGGUACGCGAGCUGGGUUCAGAACGUCGUGAGACAGUUCGGUCCCUAUCCGUCGCAGGCGUAGGAAAUUUGAGAAGACCUGUUCUUAGUACGAGAGGACCGGGAUGGACGUACCUCUGGUGUACCAGUUGUUCUGCCAAGGGCAUGGCUGGGUAGCUAUGUACGGAAUGGAUAAGCGCUGAAAGCAUCUAAGCGCGAAGCCAACUUCAAGAUAAGAUUUCCCACCGCAAGGGUAAGACCCCAGAAAGACUAUCUGGUUGAUAGGUCGAAGGUGUAAGUGCAGCAAUGUAUUUAGCUUAUCGAUACUAAUAGGUCGAGGACUUGACCAAUAUUUAUUUGAUGUUCAUUCAUUAAGAUAUAUGUGUAGUUUUUAGAGUGUUAACUUUUAAAAAUUAGUUUUACUAAUUUACAAUAAAAUAGGUGUGCUGGUGUGGCUCAACGGUAGAGCAGCUGACUUGUAAUCAGCAGGUUGUAGGUUCGAUUCCUAUCACCAGCUCCAGUAAAGACUAUGUUUUUAGCAUAGUCUUUUUUUAUUGUUUUUUAUUGUUUGAUGUAUUUGUUAUUUUGUAUUAAAUACUUUUAGUGGUCUAAUUUAUAAAUUAUAGGUAUAAAAGAUGACACAGUUUAAAAUUAUUGUUUUAAACUGUGUCUGUGAGUUUUAAAUCAAUCUACCAUGAAUCACCAUUCUGGCAUCAUCAAAUUCAUAGGUACAUGUAGAAAGUGUAACUAUUUUAUCAUUGCUAUUUACCUUAAUAGGAGAUUUAUACAAUGAUUUAGAAGUAAUAUCAUUUAUGUAAUUUUGAUAAUCAGAUUCAUUAUUAAAAUUUGUUUUUAGAUAAUCAUAAUCAGAUUCUACAAUAUAAGCAGAAAAAACAUCAUAUAAAAAUUCUUUUCCAUUCAAGGUUAUUUUUAUUUUAUUAUUUUUUUUAAAGAAGUCAGCAUCUUUAAACUUAUUUAGGUUGUUGAACAUAGUUUUAUUUUUCAUAUUAUGUCCAUAUAUUAUGAUAUUUUUGUCAUCAAUAGAUUUAUUUCUAUAAUCCAUAAACAGUGUACCAGAAAUAGAAUCUUUUUUAUAAAAAUCUUUGUCAAGAUAGUAAGAAUUAUCUUUAGAUUGUACAACUGGAUAAUUUAUAUUUGUAUUCUCAACAGAAAGCCAAAAUUUAAAAUCACUGUUAAUCUUUGAUAAAUCCUCUUUUUUAUAUUCUUUUUUUUGAAGUUCUGAGGAUAUUUUAGUAUCAUGAUUGUAUUUGGUAAGUUUUGAGUAUAUAUUAAAUCCACUGUAAAGUAUUACUAAUACUAGUAUAAUGUUAAUUACUAUUCUAUAUAAUUUUUUCAAUAUAUCACCUCGAGUUAAAUGUAGUUUAUAUAUCUAUAUUACACUAUUUUUGAAUAAAUUUAAAUUUUUAGUAUAAUAUUACUUUGACAUGUAAAAGAAUUUGUGUUAACAUAACUAAGUAAAAUAAAUAUUAAGUAAGCCAGAUAAUCG
rnacentral:rRNA from 1 species